UUGAAACGUAAGGGUAUAGGGUGAGCACGCUUCUGAUUAGAUAGUUGGUGAGGUAACGGCUCACCAAGUCGACGAUCAGUAGGGUUCUGAGAGGAAGGUCCCCACAUUGAACUGAGACACGGUCCAAACUCCUACGGGAGGCAGCAGUGAGGAAUAUUGGUCAAUGGGCGAGAGCCUGAACCAGCCAAGUCGCGUGAAGGAUGAAGGUUCUAUGGAUUGUAAACUUCUUUUGUCCGAGGGUAAAAAGGUCACGUGUAGGCUUCUUGCAAGUAUCGGACGAAUAAGCAUCGGCUAACUCCGUGCC
rnacentral:rRNA from 1 species